rnacentral:rRNA from 1 species
CCUACGGGAGGCAGCAGUGGGGAAUAUUGCACAAUGGGGGAAACCCUGAUGCAGCGACGCCGCGUGAGUGAAGAAGUAUUUCGGUAUGUAAAGCUCUAUCAGCAGGGAAGAAAAUGACGGUACCUGACUAAGAAGCCCCGGCUAACUACGUGCCAGCAGCCGCGGUAAUACGGAGGAUGCGAGCGUUAUCCGGAUUUAUUGGGUUUAAAGGGUGCGUAGGCGGACUGUUAAGUCAGCGGUAAAAGCCCGGGGCUCAACCCCGGCGAGCCGUUGAAACUGGCUGUCUUGAGAUGUCGAGAGGUAUG